GAUGAACGCUGGCGGCGUGCCUAAUACAUGCAAGUCGAGCGAACAGACCAGGAGUUUUCUCCUCUGCCGUUGGCGGCGGACGGGUGAGUACCACGUGGACAACCUACCUAUCAGACUGGGAUAACUUCGGGAAACCGGAGCUAAUACCGGAUAAUAUAUUGAACCGCAUGGUUCAAUAGUGAAAGACGGUUUUGCUGUCACUUAUAGAUGGAUCCGCGCCGCAUUAGCUAGUUGGUAAGGUAACGGCUUACCCAGGCAACGAUGCGUAGCCGACCUGAGCGGGGGAUAGCCCACAUGGGAGGUGAGACACGGUCCAGACUCCUGCGGGAGGCAGCAGUAGGGAAUCUUACGCAAUGGGCGAAAGCCUGACAGAGCAACGGCGCGUGAGUGAUGAAGGUCUUCGGAUCGUAAAGCUCUGUUAUUAGGGGAGAACAAAUGUGUAAGUAACUGUGCAGGUAUUGACGGUACCGGGUCAAAAAGCCACGGCUAACUACGUG
rnacentral:rRNA from 1 species